GACGAACGCUGGCGGCGUGCUUAACACAUGCAAGUCGAACGGAAAGGCCCUGCUUUUGUGGGGUGCUCGAGUGGCGAACGGGUGAGUAACACGUGAGUAACCUGCCCUUGACUUUGGGAUAACUUCAGGAAACUGGGGCUAAUACCGGAUCGGAGCUCCUGCUGCAUGGUGGGGGUUGGAACGUUGCGGCGGUUGGGGAUGGACUCGCGGCUUAUCAGCUUGUUGGUGGGGUAGUGGCUUACCAAGGCUUUGACGGGUAGCCGGCCUGAGAGGGUGACCGGCCACAUGGGGACUGAGGUACGGCCCAGACGCCUACAGGAGGCAGCAGUGGGGAAUAUUGCACAAUGGGCGGAAGCCUGAUGCAGCAACGCCGCGUGCGGGAUGACGGCCUUCGGGUUGUAAACCGCUUUCGCCUGUGACGAAGCGGGAGUGACGGUAAUGGGUAAAGAAGCACCGGCUAACUACGUG
rnacentral:rRNA from 1 species